GUUAGACGUCUUUUUAAUCUCUAUGAAGCCAAGCAAGGAGGGAACCGAGGGACCCCUCUGCGCAUGCGUCCCAAAUGGGCGCCAUUUUAAUGUCCCGCUCGCGUCGCGAGAGCGCCGCCUGAGAGAAACCGCUUGGAGCUCCUUUUCCCCCCCACUCUAACUCCCCUCCUCGGCUUUUCUCUGCCUUUCGGCCCGGCUAAACCCCAAGCCCGGUUUCGCCUCUCUUUGCUGUGGUGGCCCUGAGGGGGGAAAAAGAACCCCGAGGUUCAGAAACGUCGAAGGAAAAAGCCCAGAGUGGGCCGGCGGCCAUUUUGAGGGCGAGGCCCGUCUGCGCAUGCGCGUUGUUGUACAAGCGGGGAAGUUGUAAUUUAAAGUGAGGAACCUCGAAAAGGACGCCAAAUGUCGCCAAAUUGAAGACGAAUAACUCCCUGUCUUUCUAAUAAGCAGCAUACUGUGAAAGGAGGAAAUGGAAGAAACUUCUCCGUAUCAUGAAGUCCCAUAUUGAGAAUUGUAGGUUCAACCACAUCCAGAAAGCCACACAUUUCCUGUCCCUGCUUUAAAGCUCACAGAGAAUCUCUACCUCCCAUUCUGAAAUGGCAGUCCUGGGCAAACUGGCAGCAAAAGAGAAACAGGAACAUACAUCUUCAGGUAUACUGUGGGGAUGAAGGUUGGUCAUAUGUUUAUAAGCAGUCAGCUCUGGUAUAUCACUCCAUUAAUCCAUGGAAUCCAGGACUGAAUUACAAAAAGUUACUUUUUGGAUCUUCCUUAGCUAUCUCUCAGUGUAGACACAUAUACUUGUGGCACAGGCUUGCAGAUUAGACUAUGCUGUGUUGUAGUCUCUGAUUUAUAUGUGAGCCCAUUUGCUUGCAGGUAGUACUAUUUAAUAUGUCUGACAACUAACAGAAUGCCAGUUAGAUCAUUUUGACUUGCUAAUGAAAACUGAAAUGUUCAGCAGCUUGAGAGAAGGCACUUACAGUACUUGAAUAGGUUCCUUUCUAUUAGUAUUUCCAUAGUCAUCUGACAGAAGAUGAACAGAUGUGAACAACCAUGAUUGAAAAUAAAUAUGCAGUUGUAAUCUCUUGCUUGUUUCCAGGUCUGAUGCAAUCCACCUAUCUAGAUAACAGGUUAAAUGGCACAGAAUUUAAAAUUUAAAAUUACAUGAAAUCCUAAAAAUAAUAACUCUUGGAUGCAAUUAUAUCAGUUGUAUUAAACACCUCAAGUACAGUAACCCUUCCAAACAUUCCAAAUCUAGCUCUAUGAUUUGAGAUAGAAAUAAGAUGUGAGUGAUGUGAAUUCUUAAGUUCUUAAAGACUAUCUGUUCACUUAGGAAAGAUUUAAUGCAAACAGUUUCAGUGAGAUACGUUUUUAUUUAUCUUCUUUUUAAAAGCGAACCAUUUCACAGUGCUUUCAGUUUUCUCCAGGCAGCUUGGCAUGAGCAACUUGAUAGCAGUUUUAGAUUUAAAAAGCAAAGAGAAAGCAAAACAAAACAGUGAGAACAAGGAGUUAAUAUUGAGAGGGUACACCAAACAAGGCAGUAAUAACAAAGAUGAUAAUAUUAUCUGCUGAAGCUGACAAAAAGAGGACAAGUUACAACUUGUUCAUCUAAUUUCAACUUAGUCCCAUGGAACUAUAAAAGAAAGGAUGAAUAAGAGAGGAUAAACUCUCAAAUUAAUCCUCUAACUGAGCUAUUGACUACUGAGAGCACAUUUCACUUUUUACAAAUUAAACCAUAUGGCUUGUUCCUAAUAUAUUAUACAAAUAGCAAUUAAACAGGUAGCAAAAGAAGAAGCUUGAGAAGGCACUGAAACAAUAAAGAAAAGGAGGCAUCAUAUUGAGGCAUCAAGCCUUGAAGGUAGAGCGAAGCUUGGCAUGGUUGCAAACUGCAGGAACCAUCCUUGGUGAAAGGCACGCGCGUAAUCCGUCCUGGAAGCACCAAACUUUUUAUAUUCUCUCAACCGUCCAGCCUUCAGUAUGAACACAGUUCUGCCUGCUGGAAUUUUAGUGUGUGAAAUAAAUGCAUUUGUGGGCCUUAAAUCAGAUAAAAUAGGGUUGCCUAACAUCUUUAACAGCAAUGUACAUAUAUACUGGAUCUAUAUAAGAGGCACCAGUUCCUUGUGAAGUUCUGAACAAAAAGCAGGAAGCUGCACAAAGAAAGACAUCUUUUUUCAUGCACUGAAUCCAGCAAGAAUGCCAGAAGUCAUUCUCUAGCAUCAGGACAUUUCUUCUCCCUCCUUA